UUUCUCUUUCCCCUCCUCUCUUCAUCCUAGACUUGGAUAUUAUAGAAAAGCUAGGAGGAAAUGAGGGGUAAGAUGAGAAGUGUC